UUUUUUUUUUUUUGGUCUUUUUAGGGCCACACCCACAGCAUAUGGAAACUCCCAGGCUAGAGGUUGAGUCAGAGCUGUAGCUGCCAACCUAAGCCACAGCAACUCGGGAUCCUUAACCCACUGAGCAAGGCCAGGGAUUGAACCCACAUCCUCAUGGAUACUAGUCGAAUUCACUACUGCUGCCACAAUGGGAACUCCCAGGUUAUAUCAAUUUUUUUCUUGCACAAUAGAGUAAUACGGCUUCAUAUUUACCGAAUGCAUUGUCUGUCAGAGCCAAGAGAACUGAACAAAUUAACGGUUAUUCUACUACAAAAUUCAACUUGAAUGAAGGAAUCCAGUGGUCUUAAAUAAGCAUUUUUCUCAAGCCUCGUGCCAAAAUCAACAGUGAAAUUCAAGAUAAAGACCAGGUUUAUAGAGCCCACCCCUUUUCCCAAUUCGGCAUGUUUCAAGAGGCUGAAGCAAAUAAACUGAAUGAAAACCACACAUCUGUAGCACCCAUUGUCUCUGCGGGCACUCGGUCCGUGUCCUGUUAUGAGAUGAAAUGGAUUUCGCGAAGCCAAGAGGAAAAAGAAUUGCACAAGUGACAGAGAGCUUAGUUUUUUCUCUUAAGCUUGACUGGCAGGCACUACUGCAUGAUUGGGCUCUUUGUUCAACCUUAGCCACUCUCACUGCUCACCAGCCAGGCCUCAGAGCUAGUUUCCUGCAGGAGACCCUUGAUCGCCCUUUCUAGUUCAUAAAACUAGAGUCUGGCCAUUCCAGUUUAGGCAACUUCCGCUUUCUACCUAGAGAAAGGAAUUAAAGAUGACUGAAAAAUGAAUUUGGUGAUAAUACGAAUUAAAAAAGAAUCUCCCUCCUUAUGUCCUCUGAACUUCGGAAUCCUUAAUAGCUCUAUAUUCUUACCCAUCCUACGCUGAUAUAGAUGAAGGAACAAGUAAUUGAUACGUCCAUCCCUGAGAAGUGGUUGAACCCAAAAGGACAUGUUUAUGUUAAUUCCUCCCAAAUUCUGAUCCCCCAUCUCCAACUACUGAAUAGACAGGGAUACUGAUUAGGUGAAACUACUAAGAGAGAUGAUAUGAGUACAGGAACAUUGAUUUCAACUUCCAGAUGAAAUCCAAAUCUCUCAAAAAUACGGUCCACUCAGGCUAGAAUGUGUUGAAUCUCAUGGACCUUAACUCUUCAGGUCAAAAGACCACAUUUCUUUAUUCUUUUUCUUUUCAGUGGUGGCUGUUUAAAGAAAAAUGAAUGGGACCUCUUUGACAGAGCUCCUGUGAGGGGCUGCGCUCUUGUCCCCUCUCCUUGAAUCUCUGCUGAGUUUGUGAUUCAUUGUAACUAGCAGGAUACAGAAGUGACUCUGCAUGACAUCCAAGACUGAAUCAGAAAAGGUAACACAGCUUGUCCAGGACGGGAACACUCGUGCUUGGAGUUGGUGUAGCCAUCGAGGAAACCUUAUAACCCUUAGACUGCUCUGCUGGAGAAGCCACUGUAGACUCUUUGGCUGACAGCCCAGUGAGGUUGCAGCCAACAGCCGGCAAUUCACUUUCACUGGAGUGAGCCAUGUUGAUAUCCAGCUCAGGGGACCCUCAGAUGAAAGCAAUCCCAGCUGACAACUGACUGCACCACAUCAGACACCCCACACAAGAACUGCCCAGAUGAGCCCUCAAACUCAUGACCCAUAGAAUUAUGACCGAAAAGAAAAUGGUCAUUUAUUUAUUUAUUUUAUUUUUGUCUUUUCUAGGGCCCCUCCCAUGGCAUAUGGAGGGUCCCAGGCUAGGAGUCAAAUCAGAGCUAUAGCUGCCGGUCCACAUCAGGGCCACAGCAACACACGAUCCCAGCCUUGUCUGCGACUUACACCACAGCUCACGGCAGCGGUGGAUCUUUAAGCCACUGAGCAAGGCCAGGGAUUGAACCCGCAACCUCAUGGUUCCUAGUUGGAUUCCUUAACCACUGAGCCACGACGGGAACUCCCCAAGAAUGGUCAUUUUAAUACAGAAAAUUUGGGCAUAAUUUUUAUGUAGCAUUUGUAACCAGAAGACAUCUUUUCCUGAAAAUAUUUAAGGCAAUUUACAAAGGUAUAAAAACAACAGGCAGCAUAUGUUAAAAUUUAUUCUCAUCAUGCCAUGCCUUUCUUUCUUGGAUUUAAUCUUUUGCAUGGAGGUUCCCAGGCUAGGGGUAGAAUCUGGAGCUGCAGCUGUCAGCCUACACCAAAGCCACAGCAAUGCUAGAUCCAAGCUGUGUCUGCAACCUACACCACAGCUCAUGGCAACACCAAAUCCUUAACCCACUGAGCGAGUCCAGGGAUCAAACCUGCGUCCUCAUGGACACUAGUAGGGUUCGUUACCACUGAGCCAUGAUGGGAACUCCUCUUGGAUUUAAUCUUAAUACGACUUUAGAAAUUUGAAUGAAAAGAUUCUGCUUGUCACUGAAUAUCAAUAAAAUUGUACAUAAUAUACAUUACAUGUAUGACAUAUAACUUACUAAAUGUUUUUAUUGUCUAAUUUGUUUCCAUAUAUUUAUUGGAUAACAAAAGUAAAUAUAUACUCUUUUAUAUUAUGAUCUUCAUAUUAAUCUUAUUUUAACUGGAGUAAAAUUUAUAUACAGUGAUUUUUAGGUAUAAAAUUUGAUGAGGGUUUAACAAAUGAGACAUUUGUCUAACAAUUGGCCAAUGAUAUAUGAAAUAUUUCUAUCCCCCCAGAAAGUUUAAUGUACCCACUUAAAGUCAAACUCCACCCACCAGAGAUAAACACUAUUUUAUUUCUAUCAUGGUGUAAAUUAAUUCUGCCUGUUCAAGAACUUCUGUAAGUGAAAUCAAACUAGUUUGAUUGUGGCUGGGUAGUAUGUGUUCUCAGAAAAGGUUAUACACCCCAAAGGGAGGAAAAACUGGUUCUCUGCAAUGUGUGAAAAAAACUUGGUUAUUACAAUGAUGUAUGGCACUCCAAAAAUCCACUUAUCAGACAAAAUCUUUUUACUUAAAAUGACUUAUUAUCUACAGUAAACCUUGUAAAGUCACACAGCCUAAGUCCUCCAAAUUUGUUCUUUUGCAAAAGUCUUUUGGCUACUCUAAGCCCUCUACAUUUUCAUGUAAAAUUUAGAAUAAUUCUAAAUUCUAUAAAAAUAUAAUUUUGGGAUUUUGUUUGGAAUUACAAUGAAUCAAUGGAUCAACUGAGAGAACUGAUCUCUAAAUAAUAUCAAGUCUUUCAUUCCAUAAACACAAUAUCCUUCCAUCUAAGUAAUUUCUCGCAGCCCUGUUUUGUAGUUUCCAGUAUUUUGUAGUUUCUCUUGCAUUUCUUUUGGUUAAAACGAUUCCUUUGCAUUCUGUGUUGUUAGAUAACUAUUGCAACGGGUGUUUAUACAUUUUAUUUUCUAAUUGAUUCCCGCUAGUAUAUAGAAAUAAAACAUAUUUUUGUAAAUUGACCUCACUUUUUGGUUCCAGUCAGUGUGUGUGUUUGUGUAUGCAUAUGCAUGCAUGUGUGUGUGUCUAAAACACAGUUUAGGAUUAUCUAUAUAAUCAAUUCCACUGCCUGUAAAUAAAGAUAGCAUUACUUAGUCCUUUCCAAUCUUUAUGGUUGUAUUUCUUUUUUGAGCUUUUUGUAUUGACAGGGACCUUCCCCUCUCCACAGUACAAUGCUGAAUGGAAGUGCAUUCAUUAUUUUUCCCAAUUGUAAGGGGAAAUACUGUUAUAGGUCUCCAUUAAAUAUAAUGUUAGUUGGAGUUCCCGUCGUGACGCAGUGGUUAACGAAUCCGACUAGGAACCAUGAGGUUGCGGGUUCGGUCCCUGCCCUUGCUCAGUGGGUUAAUGAUCCGGCGUUGCCGUGAGCUGUGGUGUAGGUUGCAGACGCGGCUCGGAUCCCGCAUUGCUGUGGCUCUGGCGUAGGCUGGUGGCUACAGCUCCGAUUCAACCCCUAGCCUGGGAACCUCCAUAUGCC
rnacentral:lncRNA from 1 species